GAUGAACGCUGGCGGCGUGCCUAAUACAUGCAAGUCGAGCGAACAGAUGAGGAGCUUGCUCCUCUGACGUUAGCGGCGGACGGGUGAGUAACACGUGGAUAACCUACCUAUAAGACUGGGAUAACUUCGGGAAACCGGAGCUAAUACCGGAUAAUAUAUUGAACCGCAUGGUUCAAUAGUUAAAGACGGUUUUGCUGUCACUUAUAGAUGGAUCCGCGCCGCAUUAGCUAGUUGGUAAGGUAACGGCUUACCAAGGCAACGAUGCGUAGCCGACCUGAGAGGGUGAUCGGCCACACUGGAACUGAGACACGGUCCAGACUCCUACGGGAGGCAGCAGUAGGGAAUCUUCCGCAAUGGGCGAAAGCCUGACGGAGCAACGCCGCAUGAGUGAUGAAGGUCUUCGGAUCGUAAAACUCUGUUAUUAGGGAAGAACAAAUGUGUAAGUAACUAUGCACGUCUUGACGGUACCUAAUCAGAAAGCCACGGCUAACUACGUG
rnacentral:rRNA from 1 species